rnacentral:rRNA from 1 species
GAUGAACGCUGGCGGCGUGCUUAACACAUGCAAGUCGAACGAAGCACUUUAUUUGAUUUCCUUCGGGACUGAUUAUUUUGUGACUGAGUGGCGGACGGGUGAGUAACGCGUGGGUAACCUGUCUUGUACAGGGGGAUAACAGUUGGAAACGGCUGCUAAUACCGCAUAAGCGCACGGCAUCGCAUGAUGCAGUGUGAAAAACUCCGGUGGUAUAAGAUGGACCCGCGUUGGAUUAGCUAGUUGGUGAGGUAACGGCCCACCAAGGCGACGAUCCAUAGCCGACCUGAGAGGGUGACCGGCCACAUUGGGACUGAGACACGGCCCAAACUCCUACGGGAGGCAGCAGUGGGGAAUAUUGCACAAUGGGCGAAAGCCUGAUGCAGCGACGCCGCGUGAGCGAAGAAGUAUUUCGGUAUGUAAAGCUCUAUCAGCAGGGAAGAUAAUGACGGU